rnacentral:misc_RNA from 1 species
CAACCAACAAGCCUAAGCUUGGUAUUGGAUGACACUAUUAGGUGCAUCUUAAAAUCAAUUGCGGUGCUCCUAGCUUCAAGCGUAGUAAUUUUCUCGCUUCUGGAGUCUAGAUGUUGUACACUGUCUGAACCCCUAAAUUAUCGUG